rnacentral:rRNA from 1 species
CACCUACGGGUGGCAGCAGUGAGGAAUAUUGGUCAAUGGGCGAGAGCCUGAACCAGCCAUGCCGCGUGAAGGAUGACGGCCUUCUGGGUUGUAAACUUCUUUUAUAAGGGAAGAAAACUACGGUUUCUACUGUAGCCGACGGUACCUUACGAAUAAGCACCGGCUAACUCCGUGCCAGCAGCCGCGGUAAUACGGAGGGUGCAAGCGUUAUCCGGAUUUACUGGGUUUAAAGGGUGUGUAGGCGGGCUAUUAAGUCAGUGGUGAAAUCUCCGAGCUUAACUUGGAAACUGCCAUUGAUACUAUUAGUCUUGAAUAUUGUUGAGGUAGGCGGAAUAAGUCAUGUAGCGGUGAAAUGCAUAGAUAUGACUUAGAACACCAAUUGCGAAGGCAGCUUACUAAACAAUGAUUGACGCUGAGGCACGAAAGCGUGGGGAUCAAACAGGAUUAGAUACCCUGGUAGUCCACGCCCUAAACGAUGAUUACUCGACAUACGCGAUACACAGUGUGUGUCUGAGCGAAAGCAUUAAGUA